CAUCAGAAUGUCUGUUCAGUGCGUCCUAUUGGGUUCAGUCUGCUCCCGUGUCCUGCAGCAUCUGUUCCUCGGGACCCUGACCUUACACCACCUGGGUGUGGUGGCACACAGCUAUCAGCCCAGGAAGGGAUAUGGAGAUUUGCAUCAACUGAAAGAAAUUGAUUAAUCCACCGAGGAGGGUGUGUGGCUCACGUGGAUACUUCUGCCUCUCCAAAUUCACUCUUCCGGAGUUUCCUCGUCUCAGCAAUGUGGGCGUCAGGUCUAUGGGAGCUGCCUUACUGGUCUCUGGUUCAGCCUGUGCCUGCCCAAAAGGACAGUGAUACUGGAAUGUGAAUCCCGUGCUCCUCCCUCAUGGAGCCCUGCUGGGCAGGACCCAAGUUUCUGCCCAGAAUGAAAACUCUAAGAACAUCCAUCAGUGAGAUGGUUCAUUGUGGUAAUGGCACCUUUUCCAAGCCUGAUGUUUUGAGUUCAGUGCCCCAGAAGCCACAUUAUAGAAAGAGAAAACCAAAUACACACACACACAAGAGAAGCUGAGGAUCACAGGUCACAGCAAGGCCCAGUGCUUUAGCUGCAGCACCAGGAUGACUCUGGGGACGCAGGGUGGAAAGAAGCCUUGGAGUCACCCCUGCUGUGUAGCAGUUUCCUCUGACAUGGAAACACUCCAUCCUGCAGGGAAGCUGCUUAAACAGGAAGCUAAACAACUCAAAAUAAAUUCAGAAAGUCCCUGAAGCCAGCCAGGUCCCCUGGCCCCUUCCAAUCAGACCAGCUGA